UGCGGUCAUCCCACGUCAGCGUAUGACCCCACACGGCCACACCAUGAGCCCUCAUCUGGUCAGUGGAUCAACAGGUGUAGUGGCGCCAGUGAACCAUUGACCAUUUCGCACAACGACGCACCUUACAAGUAGUAGUAGCGCCAUUAUGCUUGAACAGUUGUUGGUUUAAGGUUUUGCAGAUGUUUGAGGCGAUUGUAACUUCCUAUGAUUCGAUUCUGCCGAGGGACUGGCCAGGGUAAGUCCACUAAAAGUCCAAUUUAGAUCAGUCGAUUUGUUUCAACUGUCUCAUGCAAAACUAGCAAUCGAUUCGUUCUUCAACCUUCAGCUCCCCAUGUUCUUCUUUCAACCGUCCUCCCUACCACCGGCCGAACCACCAACCACCAUCGCCCGUGGUUGGCAGUGCUCCUGCAUCAACCUUGCAGCCCCGCCCUUUCCUUAACCGUUGUGCUGCCAGGGCCGCCAGCCAACCCUCUAAUCCCGACAAUGACAAUUUUUUUAAGGUGAACCUGCACCAUCUCCACACCCCUAAGAUAUAUAAUGAAGUCAUUUGUCACUCUAAGAUAGAUAUAGGGACGCGUGGCAACUAGGAUAGACCGAGAGGGCUUCUUCAGCAAGCUUCUUCCUUUCCUUCGGUUGUUCCUUCCUUCACACGAAAAACACUCCACGUGUUCAUAGAUGUGCCAUCAAUCGCCCCCCCCCCCCACCGCCCCCGCCGCCUCCGGUGUGCUCCGGCGAGGUUGGGUACGACGACUCCGUGCACUCGUUCCCGUCGUCGUCGUUCGAGAGGGCGGCGGCGGCCGGCGGAGGGGACCCGCUGUCGCAGACAUCGGUGGCCACAUUCCCCUUCUCGCCGCUGUCCAUGCGGUCAUCCCACGUCAGCGUAUGACCCCACACGGCCACACCAUGAGCCCUCAUCUGGUCAGUGGAUCAACAGGUGUAGUGGCGCCAGUGAACCAUUGACCAUUUCGCACAACGACGCACCUUACAAGUAGUAGUAGCGCCAUUAUGCUUGAACAGUUGUUGGUUUAAGGUUUUGCAGAUGUUUGGGGCGAUUGUAACUUCCUAUGAUUCGAUUCUGCCGAGGGACUGGCCAGGGGUAAGUCCACUAAAAGUCCAAUUUAGAUCAGUCGAUUUGUUUCAACUGUCUCAUGCAAAACUAGCAAUCGAUUCGUUCUUCA
rnacentral:lncRNA from 1 species